GACGUAGGCAGCAAGCGUUGUUCGGAGUUACUGGGCGUAAAGGGUGCGUAGGCGGCUUCGUAAGUUCGGUGUGAAAUCUCCUGGCUUAACUUGGAGGGUGCGCCGAAAACUGCGGAGCUGGAGCGCAGGAGAGGAAAGCAGAAUUCCUGGUGUAGCGGUGAAAUGCGUAGAUAUCAGGAGGAAUACCGGUGGUGAAGGCGGCUUUCUGGACUGCUGCUGACGCUGAUACACGAAAGCGUGGGGAGCAAACAGG
rnacentral:rRNA from 1 species